UACGUAGGGAGCAAGCGUUAUCCGGAUUUAUUGGGUGUAAAGGGUGCGUAGACGGGAAUGCAAGUUAGUUGUGAAAUCCCUCGGCUUAACUGAGGAACUGCAACUAAAACUACAUUUCUUGAGUGCUGGAGAGGAAAGUGGAAUUCCUAGUGUAGCGGUGAAAUGCGUAGAUAUUAGGAGGAACACCAGUGGCGAAGGCGGCUUACUGGACUGUAAAUGACGCUGAGGCUCGAAAGCGUGGGGAGCAAACAGG
rnacentral:rRNA from 1 species